rnacentral:rRNA from 1 species
AUACGGAGGGUGUAAGCGUUACUCGGAAUCACUGGGCGUAAAGCGCGCGCAGGCGGUCUUUUAAGUUGGAUGUGAAAGCCUACGGCUCAACCGUAGAACUGCAUCCAAAACUAUUAGACUAGAGUGUGGGAGAGGAAGAUGGAAUUAGUUGUGUAGGGGUAAAAUCCGUAGAGAUAACUAGGAAUACCAAAAGCGAAGGCAAUCUUCUGGAACACUACUGACGCUGAGGCGCGAAAGCGUGGGGAGCAAACAGGAUUAGAAACCCUAGUAGUCC